rnacentral:lncRNA from 1 species
UCUUUUAGUGUGCAUCCCUUUCAGUCCUGCUGUCAAGCCUCCAGUUUGGUGAUGCUAUUUUUCCUUUACAGUGACGAACAUCUCGAUUAUGCAAAAACAGCAGUAAUAAAGUGUAGAAUGAAUUUCAAGGGGACUAGUCCAAAGCAGCCAUCAAUAAUUUCUGAUCUGACAGAGGUGAUAAUUAAGAUUGCCAUUUAAAUAUUCCUCCAAGAUUUAUGCUCAGAAGACAAAUUCUAGAUGGACCACGGGAGCCACAAAGGGUGCAAGACAACCACCUAUAAUAGAAGAAACUCCAGGCUUUUUCACAAGAGCAUCUCCAUGUCCAUCAUAAGAGAGAACCUACAGUUUAAGCUUCUGCCUUCGUCAGAACUGUCAUCUCACACACAGUUAUAACUGUGGUUGCUGAUAUUUGGUUAUCCAGUGGAUGGUAUGAGGUAAAAUAUAGCGUCUGCACCACCUGGACUGAGGAAAUCUCUGUGAUGACCUUUAAUGGUGAUGGCUGAAAUGCCCUGUAGGUUCCAUG